CUACGGGGCGCAGCAGUGGGGAAUAUUGCACAAUGGGCGCAAGCCUGAUGCAGCCAUGCCGCGUGUAUGAAGAAGGCCUUCGGGUUGUAAAGUACUUUCAGCGGGGAGGAAGGGAGUAAAGUUAAUACCUUUGCUCAUUGACGUUACCCGCAGAAGAAGCACCGGCUAACUCCGUGCCAGCAGCCGCGGUAAUACGGAGGGUGCAAGCGUUAAUCGGAAUUACUGGGCGUAAAGCGCACGCAGGCGGUUGGUUAAGUCAGAUGUGAAAUCCCCGGGCUCAACCUGGGAACUGCAUCUGAUACUGGCAAGCUUGAGUCUCGUAGAGGGGGGUAGAAUUCCAGGUGUAGCGGUGAAAUGCGUAGAGAUCUGGAGGAAUACCGGUGGCGAAGGCGGCCCCCUGGACGAAGACUGACGCUCAGGUGCGAAAGCGUGGGGAGCAAACAGGAUUAGAUACCCGGUAGUC
rnacentral:rRNA from 1 species